rnacentral:rRNA from 1 species
CUUGGGUUCGAUUCCGGAGAGGGAGCCUGAGAAAUGGCUACCACAUCCAAGGAAGGCAGCAGGCGCGUAAAUUGCCCGAAUCCUGACACAGGGAGGUAGUGACAAGAAAUAACAAUACAGGGCUCUUUCGAGUCUUGUAAUUGGAAUGAGUACAAUUUACAUCUCUUCACGAGGAUCAAUUGGAGGGCAAGUCUGGUGCCAGCAGCCGCGGUAAUUCCAGCUCCAAUAGCGUAUAUUAAAGUUGUUGCAGUUAAAACGCUCGUAGUCGGAUUUCGGGGCAGGUUUGCCGGUCUGCCGAUGGGUAUGCACUGGUAGAACUGUCCUUCCUUCCGGAGACGGCGCCUACUCUUAACUGAGCGGGUGUCGGAGACGGAUCGUUUACUUUGAAAAAAUCAGAGUGUUUCAAGCAGGCAGCUCGCUUUUGCAUGGAUUAGCAUGGGAUAAUGAAAUAGGACUUUGGUGCUAUUUUGUUGGUUUCGAACACCGAAGUAAUGAUUAACAGGGACAGUCAGGGGCACUCGUAUUCCGCCGAGAGAGGUGAAAUUCUUAGACCAGCGGAAGACGAACCACUGCGAAAGCAUUUGCCAGGGAUGUUUUCACUGAUCAAGAACGAAAGUUAGGGGAUCGAAGACGAUCAGAUACCGUCGUAGUCUUAACCAUAAACCAUGCCGACUAGGGAUUGGAGGAUGUUCCUAUGUGACUCCUUCAGCACCUUUCGGGAAACUAAAGUCUUUGGGUUCCGGGGGGAGUAUGGUCGCAAGGCUGAAACUUAAAGGAAUUGACGGAAGGGCACCACCAGGAGUGGAGCCUGCGGCUUAAUUUGA